rnacentral:rRNA from 1 species
GACGUAGGAUGCGAGCGUUGUCCGGAAUUAUUGGGCGUAAAGCGUACGUAGGCGGUUCUUUAAGUUUGGGGUUAAAGACCAAGGCUCAACCUUGGGAGUGCCCUGAAUACUGGGGGACUGGAGGGCGGCAGAGGAAAGUGGAAUUCCCAGUGUAGCGGUGAAAUGCGUAGAUAUUGGGAGGAACACCAGUGGCGAAGGCGGCUCACUGGACCGGUUCUGACGCUGAGGCGCGAAAGCGUGGGGAGCAAACGGG